GCAUCCUGAUCCUGGACUUCAAGCUUCCAGAACGUGAGAACCUCCUCCCAAGUCGUCGCCAGAGGCCUCCCCAUGGUUUCUGGAAGCAUUAGCGACAGCAUGCCACUGACGAACGCCAAAAUCCCAACAACCAGCUAGAAGGAAUUAAAAGAACAAUACGACCCUUCUCAACAGAGCCUCCAACUCAGUUUCUGCUGUCCCUCCACUUCCAGCUGUGGUUCGCAAAGCCCUCCCCCGUUCCAUCUUUGCUCUCCUUUCCUGUCUGCCAGCUGGAUGUGGAGACCCAGGGGACCCUGGAGUUCGUGUGUUGAGGAUGGCGGUGCCUCGGUCAACCUCAAUCCCUGAAUGACCCGGUGAAGCCAAACACCCCCUCCCCUCCCAGCACCACUACCCAGGUAUACCCACAUCGGACUUUCUAUGGGCAAGAAUAAGUAUCUAUUCUGCGAAGUCCCUGGAACCUGAUGGAACUCGCCUCUAAUGAAGCAACGAAUGUCACCUUGUCAUCCUGAUCCCUGCGUGUUUGCUGGAUGACUCUGUUGACAGUAUCUGUUGUAGAUAGUGUUUACUGAAUGAAUUAAUGUAACCUGGAAAACACUGAUGGGUGCUGACACUGCCGUUUGGGGAGAAACUUCAUCAGAAGGAAGAAAUUUGUGGUUAAAUGUUAGUGCCCUGUUUCUAGAAAUCCCCAUCAGCUACUCUCCUGUUUUCCCCAUUAUCGCAGAGGCGUAAUCAUUAUAGGACUCAGAGGUUUUGGGGUUCCCCUAAAUCUUCACCAGCCAGCUCAAAGGCAGCUGCCAUCAACUCAACUACUGUACCUGUAAACUACUUGAAAAGACAAAACCAAAAAAAGGUGUGAAUGAAGUUCCCUCAAACUGGCAGCAACCCCCUGGUCCUGAGUAGUUUGACGGCAUUCGUGAUAGUUGUGCGUCAAUCAGUGGGAAACUUCAAUUGUAUAAAACAUUUGAUUCACCAUCCUUCAGAAUUAAGUGAAGUAUUACUAUAAAAAGUCACUGGUUAACUUAAAGAAAAUUUCAAACAAUAUGCAAAACUUAAAAUGCCUUGCUCUAAAUGGUGAGAUACUCUUAUAAUCCUAGAGAA